rnacentral:rRNA from 1 species
CAGUCGCCGCGGUAAUACGAAGGUCCCGAGCGUUGUUCGGAAUCACUGGGCGUAAAGGGAGCGUAGGCGGCGUGGUAAGUCAGAUGUGAAAUCCCGGGGCUCAACCCCGGAACUGCAUCCGAUACUGCCGUGCUAGAGGAUUGGAGAGGUAGCUGGAAUUCUUGGUGUAGCAGUGAAAUGCGUGGAGAUUAAGAGGAACACUCGUGGCGAAAGCGAGCUACUGGACAAUAUCUGACGCUGAGGCUCGAAGGCCAGGGUAGCGAAAGGGAUUAGAGACCCGAGUAGUCCCUGUCUCUUAUAC